rnacentral:rRNA from 1 species
AACGCGAAGAACCUUACCUGGGCUUGAACCGCUACGGACCAAGGGUAGAAAUAUCCUCUUCCCGCAAGGGACCGUAGUAGAGGUGCUGCAUGGCUGUCGUCAGCUCGUGCCGUGAGGUGUUGGGUUAAGUCCCGCAACGAGCGCAACCCUUACUCGUAGUUGCUACCCGCAAGGGAGAACUCUACGAGGACUGCUCCGGAUAACGGAGAGGAAGGUGGGGAUGACGUCAAGUCAGCACGGCCUUUAUGUCCAGGGCUACACACGUGUUACAAUGCAUGGUACAGACUGUUGCGAACCCGCGAGGGGGAGCUAAUCGGCCAAAGCCAUGCUCAGUUCGGAUUGCAGUCUGCAACUCGACUGCAUGAAGCUGGAAUCGCUAGUAAUGGCGUAUCAGAUCGACGCCGUGAAUACGUUCCCGGGCCUUGUACACACCGGAGUA